CAGUAGCCGCGGGAAUACGGAGGGGGCUAGCGUUGUUCGGAAUUACUGGGCGUAAAGCGCACGUAGGCGGUUUUGUAAGUCAGAGGUGAAAGCCCGGAGCCCAACUCCGGAACUGCCUUUGAGACUGCAUCACUUGAACGUCGGAGAGGUGAGUGGAAUUCCGAGUGUAGAGGUGAAAUUCGUAGAUAUUCGGAAGAACACCAGUGGCGAAGGCGGCUCACUGGACGACUGUUGACGCUGAGGUGCGAAAGCGUGGGGAGCAAACAGGAUUAGAUACCCCAGUAGUCCCUGUCUCUUAUAC
rnacentral:rRNA from 1 species